rnacentral:rRNA from 1 species
CUGGCGGGAGGAAUUUGGGCCCACCUCCCAUCCGUGUCUAUUGUACCCUGUUGCUUCGGCGGGCCCGCCGCUUGCGACCGGGGGGGGCGCCUCUGCCCCCCGGGCCCGUGCCCGCCGGAGACCCCAACACGAACACUGUCUGAAAGCGUGCAGUCUGAGUUGAUUGAAUGCAAUCAGUUAAAACUUUCAACAAUGGAUCUCUUGGUUCCGGCAUCGAUGAAGAACGCAGCGAAAUGCGAUAACUAAUGUGAAUUGCAGAAUUCAGUGAAUCAUCGAGUCUUUGAACGCACAUUGCGCCCCCUGGUAUUCCGGGGGGCAUGCCUGUCCGAGCGUCAUUGCUGCCCUCAAGCCCGGCUUGUGUGUUGGGUCGCCGUCCCCCUCUCCGGGGGGACGGGCCCGAAAGGCAGCGGCGGCACCGCUCCGAUCCUCGAGCGUAUGGGGCUUUGUCACAUGCUCUGUAGGAUUGGCCGGCGCCUGCCGACGUUUUCCAACCAUUCUUUCCAGGUUGACCUCGGAUCAGGUAGGGAUACCCGCUGAACUUAAGCAUAUCAAUAAGCGGAGGAA